GUAUGUUUCAUUUUUCACGCGUGGUUUAAUAAGUGCCCAUGUUGUAAUUUCCCAUUUGUGGAAAUGUCCCAAAAAUUGGGAUGCAAACAAUGGGAUGAUUUAACAGUGUUUUUGUUUUGUUUUGUUUUGUUUUAAUUGACUGAAGACCAUAGUAAAGAGAGCAACUUGGAAGCAAGGCCGAGAGGUCUCAGUUGUCCGCCAUUUAUCCUUGGCUAACGUAUAAGUGGUGGAGACACAACUUGUUACCCCGGCUUGAUCUUCAUAUCACACCAGCCGCCACCGGGAGCCUUGUCUGCGCUCAUCUCAUCCAGCGCCCCCAUUUUGUGGCCAACCACAUUGAAAAUGACACCGCAAACAGGGCAAGUUGGUUGAGUACUUCCUCCCUAAUAUUUCUUUGUGUUAUUCCAGAAGACAGGGGACAAUGUUGGGUGUCACGUGACUGCUGUAUUUGGCUCCCAAGAGAAGAUUUUGAAGGGUGUACCUAAUGAAGUGACCGCGGGCGUGCGCUUUUCAUCAGGACCACUUGAGGCUGUAGCGCAGACGGACUUCCCACGCCUGCAGCGUCUCCUUGCUUUCGAAACCCAACAGAGCCGCCUGGGUCAGGCAGAGAAUGGCCA